rnacentral:rRNA from 1 species
AGUCGAUCUGCCACUGAUUAAGAAAAAUUAAAGGGCUGCAGUAUUUUGACUGUACAAAGGUAGCAUAAUCAAUAGUCUCUUAAUUGGUGACUUGUAUGAAUGAUUUGAUGAAAUAUAAACUGUCUCUAAAUUAAUUAAUAAAAUUUAAUUUUUUAAUUAAAAAGUUAAAAUAAAUUUAAAAGACGAGAAGACCCUAUAGAGUUUUAUAAAUUAAUUAAUUAAAAUAAUAUAUUUAUGAAUAAAUUAAAAUUUGUAUAAUUUAUUUUAUUGGGGGGAUAGAAAAAUAAAAAAAACUUUUUUAAUUUGUUUAACAUAGAUAAUUGAUUAUAUGAUCCAAAAAUUUUGAUUAUAAGAAAAAAUUACCUUAGGGAUAACAGCGUAAUUUUUUUUUUUAGUUCAAAUAAAAAAAAGAGUUUGCGACCUCGAUGUUGGAUUAAGAUAAAAUU